rnacentral:rRNA from 1 species
GAUGAACGCUGGCGGCGUGCCUAAUACAUGCCAGUCGAGCGAACAGACGAGGAGCUUGCUCCUUUGACGUUAGCGGCGGACGGGUGAGUAACACGUGGGUAACCUACCUAUAAGACUGGGAUAACUUCGGGAAACCGGAGCUAAUACCGGAUAAUAUUUCGAACCGCAUGGUUCGAUAGUGAAAGAUGGCUCUGCUAUCACUUAUAGAUGGACCUGCGCCGUAUUAGCUAGUUGGUAAGGUAACGGCUUACCAAGGCAACGAUACGUAGCCGACCUGAGAGGGUGAUCGGCCACACUGGAACUGAGACACGUUCCAGACUCCUACGGGAGGCAGCAGUAGGGAAUCUUCCGCAAUGGGCGAAAGCCUGACGGAGCAACGCCGCGUGAGUGAUGAAGGUCUUCGGAUCGUAAAACUCUGUUAUUAGGGAAGAACAAACGUGUAAGUAACUGUGCACGUCUUGACGGUACCUAAUCAGAAAGCCACGGCUAACUACGUG